UUUUGAAAAAAAGGGUCUAUCUUACCUCUUAGGGAGGAGAAACCACCCAACGAUCUCUCAAACCUCACCAAUCCUAAAAUAGUUUCUAAAACUUUUUAUUUCUGAAGCUUCUCUUAAAUCUCAACAAAAAUGAUUACCUUAGAAAGAUCUGAAGGGCUCUUACAACUCCGGUGGAGAAACAAGAAUAGUUUUCGUGAAAAAGAUGAGGUCGGAGAUGGCAGAGGAGUAUGACCAUGACAGGAGGGUAGGUGGAGGUAAUGAACACUUAUAUUAAAUGUCCAGUUUUUUGGGGUUUGCUUUGAUUUUGUUGAUUUUUUUGGUUGAUUGAUUUUCUUUUUACUGUUAUGGCGACAUGAUGAUGUUGAGGCGGUUAAACUGGUCGGUUAUCAACAGUUGCAACUUCGGAAUCGAUAACAGCGGGAGUGGCUCCACGGUGGGCUUUUCUAGUUGACAGUGGCGGCGGCAGCCGGGGAAGAUAAUGAAGAAUUAGGGUUACGGUUAGCAAAGGCUUGAACAUGCAACCCAACAAGUGAACCAAGUCCAGUUCAACAGUCGUGAGGAACCCUAACCUUGGUAGUGUUCUGCGCCACAAGCUCCCUCGCCUCCCUUUCCGAGUUUCACGGCCACCCGUCUCACAUCCUCCACAACUCCGAUUCCUCCGGCGCAAGGAUUUCAUGAAGAUAACAAGCCAACAAACAUUGGAGUUAGAGUUCUAAUAGGGGUCAAACACUUAGAUUCUAGGCUAUAAAUAAGACAUGUAAUCUAUUUGUAAAGGGAGAGGAGACCACAGAGAGCUUUUAGGCACAAAAUACGCAAAAAUCCACAAUACAUAAAAGAUUACCACAGAAAUCUUACUAGAGUAC